rnacentral:lncRNA from 1 species
UCUCUCCAAAAAAUAUAAAGUUGAGGUAUUCUAUUUAACAGAUGCGUGAUCUCCUUCUGAAUGUGGUUUCUCUAUGAAUUAACGGCCUUGCUACACGCGGUUCCAAUCCCUGCCUUCUGAAGCAGCUCUUCAUUUGAGCACAUUUUCAUACAACUGACAGUGUUCUUUAAUAAUCACGAAGGUUGCCAUAGAAACUGGCACUGGGGCCAGGCUACAGCAAGGACCUGAUGCUGGAAGGACCUUUAGGGGACGCUCAGGAGUGUCUGGCACAGAAGCUGAGCCAGUUGGCCUCCCUUCCAGCCACAGCCCCACUGCCAACUGCUGCAAAGACAGGCUGGGAUCCAGGCUUAUGUUCUGAAGGACCAUCAGUUGCCCCUGCUUCUCCAAGUUAAGAUAAAUGUCUCACCAACACCUGGGGCUGGUGUCAGACUCCUCCCCAGCUGGGUCAAUCUGACACACCUUCAGUGAGGUGACAUAGUACAGCACCAAAGCAGCUGGGCAAGACAUUCCUGAACAUUCUGCGGGAAACCCGCAAACCCAUGACCACUCCCAGCCUGCCCCCUUGCGCUCUGGUCACCCCUAGGUAGGCUCCCAACCUGUUCCGGCAACAGAUUCCAUGCCUGGUAAUGGCGUUGCCUUCCCCCAACCCCGCACCCCAUCUCACCCUCCACCCUUCGGGGCCAGCGGGGGAAAUGGCAGAGACUCAGUUGAACCCAGAACCUCAAGGGCAAGGAGCACUCAGAGAUACCAAAGGCUUUGUAGACACAAUCAAUGCUACCUCCUUGACAGAUAAAAGACAGCACGUGCGCUACAGAAACACAAGUUAGAAGGACCUGUGGACUGAAACCCACAUUCACUGACCAGAUUCAAGGACAGGGAAAGCUUAGGGUGUGGACCUGUGUACACUGAGCAAGGCCUACAACCCGGAGAAGACAAAUAUUUUUCCUUCAUCUAUACUAGCUUAUUAAAAAAAAAUAAAGGGAAAAAAACCCCUCUUCAAUGUAAAAAAAAAAAAAAAAAAAAAAAAAAAAAAAAGGCAGUUCCGUUCCAAUAAUAAUGAAAGCAAUAACAAUUUGGAGAUCAAAGCUGCCUAGCUCUCAGCAGUCGUGAGUUAUCUGGAUUUACAUCUUCCACUAGCACCGCUCUGCCCGGCUCUGGUAAUAUUUACACGUGGGUAAAACUUUGUCAAGAGUUAAAGAACCGUGGGCACGGAACCACCCUUUCUCAGGCAGAGUCUCAUUUUCCACAUUUCCCUUAAACAGCAUUUUUGCUUUCUCAAGCAAGGAAACUUCAGCGAAAAACAAAAUAAAAACCACCUGCCUCACUUUUAUCAACUUAAGGGUCUGAUAUUUAAAGCCAAAGCCAGCCAUGAACAUCGCUCUGUGAGCCCAAGGUCGGUCACAGGUUGAACCUGGCAAACAGUACGUAAAACAUGGUCGUUUCCAUCCUUUUGCCACCUGUCUGGCGCUGCUGGUUGUUUUGCUGACGGGGGGCCGCUAGAAAGGCUUUGUGGUCUGGUACAUUUUGAGUGGUGGUUACACGACUGAUUUUAAUCACAGCUUCCUUCUGGGACAUCCCAGGAUACUUGAGGGUACCUGACGGAGGAACCAUUCAUCUCUCUGAAUUUUCAAAGCCUGGAGAGAAAACUGAGCUGAAGCGGUCAGCGAGGUGUCGUGGCUGGACCCGCAGUCGGUGCCUCAAUACUAGCUGAACGGAAUCACAUUCAAGGAACUAACUGAGAAGAGGAAGGCAUUGAGGUUAGGGAUUUUUUUUUUUUUUUUUUUUUUUUUUAAUGAACCUCCUCUGAUAAGCUCGUGGCUUUUACAGCUGGGGAUUUUCAGCUGACCUGCUGGGUAAUCCGUGGGAGUCGAGCUUCCCAGAACCCUGACAGGGAGCUGGACACCCCUUCCUUCUCCACCGCCUGCAGGAGUAAUAACAAGCUGCUUUUCCGCUAAAUUCAAGAAGAGGCAGGCUUUUUUUUUUUUCUUUUCUGCUUUUAAAGGCAAACCCAAAAUUUAGAAGGAAAGCAGAGUCUCUUCUCCAAUAGGGGAAAAUCUUUUUUUCUCCUCCUGUUUACUUGACUCAGUUUUGCAGUAAGCAACAUUAUCGUGCAUUUCCCCCAUCCCACCCCCCCCAACAGGUUAUUUGCACCCUGACAGUCUGCUAAUGCUGCCUCUUCCACCCUCUGAAGAUCCACCAGUCAGCAGUUUUUAAAAAACCAAAUUAAAAUACAUUCUUGCCAGGUUCUUUGGUCUUUUCGCAUAAAUAUUUUCUUCCCUGGUUACUUAGGCUCAGUUGAAAACGAAAUAAACAAAGCUGGAGUAAGGCAGUGUGGAUUUGCCAGGGGCAGAAACCUCCCUAACAUCUGUUCUCCUUUUUUUGGGG